UUCAAAGGGGGAGGGCUGAGAACAGUUUUCAAGCUAAUACAGGCGUUUUUUGAUGCAAAAGGAUAAAAGACGACUAACGUCCAAGUGGAUCCAUAUAGCGUUCGCUAUGAAUCUGACUGCAGGAGAGUUUGGCAGGAUCGUGAACUGAUCUUAAAAAGCUCUGCUGAGGGAAAGCUGUUCCGUGUAAUAAGGAUCUCUUCACUUGUUUUAAUUGGAAUAAUAAUUCUAAAUAGAAUGCAAGAAAUCUGCCUGACAAGUUUUUUUGUGUAAUUUCACUUCUGUAACAAGAAAAAAUGAAAUAAAAUAUUUUUAUAAUAUA